rnacentral:rRNA from 1 species
UGACGGUAGUCGUAUGCUCGUCUCCGAGACUAAGCCAUGCAAGUCCAAGUACACGUCCUUGAACGACGGAAACUGCGAACGGCUCAUUAAAUCAGUUGCGAUCUACUCGGCGUUCCGCGCCGCCGGAUAACCGUAGUAAUUCUAGGGCUAAUACGUGCGAAGCGCCCGAAGCCGCGAGGCGACGGGCGUUCUCGCCGGAUGUAGGAACCGACCCGGGGACCGCCGGGGCAACCCGGCGCCCCCGAGACGGGGCGAACCACGGUGAAAUGACGGAUCGUCGGCCCCGCGCCGGCGACUCGCCGAAUGAGUUUCUGACCUAUCAACUCGAGACGGCGGGGUAGAGGCCCGCCGCGGUAACGACGGGUAACGGGGAAUCAGGGUUCGAUUCCGGAGAGGGAGCCCGAGAAACGGCUACCACUUCCAAGGAAGGCAGCAGGCG